rnacentral:rRNA from 1 species
UAAUUGUCGAAGGGGAAUUUUCGGGGGGCUCACACCGGGCGGUGGAGCCAUGUGGCUUUAUUUAGAAGCAACGCGAUGAACCUUAUCCUGGGUUUUGACAUGCACGGAUUAGCCCGCCGAAAGGCGGGUGACACCUUCGGGUGGAACGUGCACAGGUGCUGCAUGGCUGUCGUCAGCUCGUGCCGUGAGGUGUUAGGUUAAGUCCUUUAACGAGCGAAACCCCUGUCGCUAGUUGCCAGCGCGUUAUGGCGGGGACUCUAGCGAGACCGCCGGCGUCAAGUCGGAGGAAGGUGGGGAUGACGUCAAGUCCGCAUGGCCUCUAUGCCCAGGGCUGCACACGUGCUACAAUGGUGGGCACAGAGCGACGCAAUACCGCGAGGUGGAGCAAAUCGCGAAAUCCCGCCCCAGUUCAGAUUGCAGGCUGCAAUUCGCCUGCAUGAAGGUGGAAUCGCUAGUAAUCGCGGAUCAGCUACGCCGCGGUGAAUACGUUCCUGAGCCUUGUACACACCGCCCGUCAAGUCAUGGAAGCUGGCAGCGCCCGAGGUCGCCGCAAUUCAGCGGUGCCCACGGCGAGGAUGGGGGGUGGGACUAAGUCGUAACAAGGUA